UUAUAGUGAGGGGAUAGGAGAUGAAGCUUCAAGAAUACGGAUUAAAGAUGGGUGUAAAAUUCCCGGUGAAAAAACUGUACUAUGCAUUGAAGAAUCAGCUUGCUAUAUAAAUGAUAUUGUGGUAGGAGGAUUUGUUCGUGCAUGUGUUGAACAUUAUCUCGAGGAAGGGCAAGGUGUAGCUGGGAAAGCGCUUCAAUCAAAUCGUCCAUUCUUCUAUUCCGAUGUGAAGGCCUAUAAUAUUAGUGAAUAUCCCCUUGUUCACCAUGCGCGAAAAUAUAAGUUGAAUGCUGCCGUUGCAGUCAGGCUAAGGAGUAUUCAUACCAAUGAUGAUGAUUACAUAAUAGAAUUCUUUCUACCUGUCAUUAUGAAUGGAAGUCAAGAACAGCAACUUUUAUUAGACAAUCUAUCAGAUACUAUGCAGAGAAUGUGUCAGAGUUUGAGGAUAGUUUCGGAUGAUGAAUUAUACGGGAUAGAAGGUUCGCAAGUGCAGUUUUCAAAGGAAGAAGGCUCGAGUUUUUUCUCUAUGUCUAGGGGAAAUUCUCAUAUGGCGCCGGAAGGUGACCAUGAUUCGGUCCAGCCUAUGUCCUUGACAAACAAUGAAACUGAAGCUGCUCAUAACCAGGUAUAUCUUAACAGUUGCUUCAUUUGAGAAAUCAUUUAUUAUAAUUUAUGAUUCAACUUUGUAGGCAAUGGAUGGAUCAAGAAAGCAGACUGAGAAAAAGAAAAGUACAGUGGAGAAGAAUGUUAGCUUGAGUGUUCUCCAGCAAUACUUCUCCGGUAGUCUUAAAGAUGCGGCUAAAAGCCUUGGUGGUAAGACUACUACAGCUUUGUCCUUGCAGAUUUCUUUUAAUUUAUUCAAUCAGCAUAUUAUUUUGGGUUAGAUGAUAGAUUCUGGUUCUAAAAAUAUAUAGAUGAUAAAUAUUUGUGAAAAACACCAAGAUGAUUAUUAUUGACAAGUGAUUCUUCUUGAACAGUUUGCCCAACAACCCUGAAAAGGAUAUGCAGGCAACACGGAAUCGCAAGAUGGCCAUCGCGCAAGAUCAAUAAAGUUAAUCGUUCGUUAAAAAAAAUACAAACCGUGCUUGACUCAGUCCAGGGUGUGGAAGGAGGACUGAAGUUUGAUCCUUACAAGGGGGGAUUUAUUCCAGGAGGAUCAAGCAACCAAGAAAUUAAUGCACAUAAAAGUUCUCUCUUCCGGAAGAAAUGUUCUGGAAAAUAUCCUGAUCCUGCAUCAAAAGAUGCAGUCACCGUAUCUCCGGCAUCUGGUAGCAAAGGUGAGAAUUUAGCUUCUGCAUUUAGACAUGCUUAUCUCUAAUUCCAAGGGUGAGUUGAAGAAAAACAAAGCUUUUUCUGUUGAUGUAGAUUCAAAGCCAAUAGGCAUGGAUGAUGGUGGAUUACGGCAGGAACCCUUUCCGGUUUCUAUUUUGGAAAGUUCUAGGUGUGAUAUAGUAUAUCACAGUCCAAACACCCUGGUUGCCGAUGAGAUGGAAAAUUAUCUGAAUGGGGCUGACAAGCUCGGCGAGCAUCACAAUCCCACUACUUCAAGCAUGUCAGACUCGUCAAAUGGCUCUGGCUCUCGGAAAUUUGAGAAUCGGAAACAUUUGAAAGCCAAAUCACCUUGUGUUGAUAAGGGAUCAAAAAUUAUUGUCAAAGCUGCCUACAAAGAAGAUAUGAUCCGUUUCAAGUUUGAUCCUGCAGCUGGUUGUCUCCAGCUCUAUGAACAAGUUGCAACAAGAUUUAAAUUACAAAUCGGAUCAUUCCAGCUGAAGUAUCUCGACGAUGAAGAGGAAUGGGUGAGGAUGGUAAAUGACUCAGAUUUGGAAGAAUGCAUAGAAAUAUUGGAUGAUCUUGGCACCCGUGCUGUGAAAUUUCUUGUUAGCGACAUGCCUAGUGGUUUGAGCAGCAGUGGCAGUAACAGUUGAUGAAUUCAAUGAAGCACAAGAAAUCUUUGAUCCAAAUAACCCCAAUGACACAUCUAAGAUAUUCCAUAGAAAUGUCUUCAUCCGACUUGUGUGGCUAAAAAGCAAUACUAAUGAAAUAUUGUUGACGGACGAAUUCAAUGUGGCAACUGAAUUCUUCAAUCAACAUAUUUCAUUAGCAUUGCCUUUUAGACACACAAUCAGAUGAAGAUGUUUCUAUGAAAUUUUCUGAAUGUGGCAUUAAGAUUAUUUGGAUCAAAGAUUUCUUGUAGUUUAAUCUUAGAACCUUGAAGCAUGAUCAUGCUUCUUCAAAGUGUCUAUUUUCAGAAGGUAGGAUAAUAGUUACAAGUAAGCACUAGAAUGUUAAAUACAUAGUUCUAUACAUGACUAUUAUUCUACAUUCUGAAAAUAGACACUUUGAAAAAGUAUGAUCAUGCUUCAAGGUUCUUUCCUCUAUAAAAAUUAAAUAGCUUAUAAAGUUUUAUAGUUAAAUAGUUAAGAUAAAUAGCUCUAGUUUGCUUUUAUCCCAAUUUUUAUAUAAAAUCAUCAAUAAUUUGGGAAAGAUAUUGUAAAUAAAUUUUCAUAUAAUUUUGUUGUUUUUAUCCUCACAAGAUAAUCUGAUUAAUAAUAAAAAUUAAUACCGUUUCCAGUGUAUUGUAUGUAAAAUUGUGCAUAGACUGAAGUCAAAGAACAAAUUCAUCCAACAAAGCAAUUCAAUGAUUUUCUGAAAUAAAAAUAAUUCUAAAAUUCUGUUUCUUUGAUUUUAUUAAAAAAUAUAACUAUUUAAAACUAUUUUAGUUAAUAUUAUAUACAAAUUCUAUUAGAGUUGGUAUUCUAACGUUUGUAUUUUUUUAUACAAAAAAAUCUUUUUAAAUUUCUCAUAGAAAUCGAUUGCAUUGAUGAAUAAGCUCUCAAUGCUGUCCAAAAACCUUUCCUAUUUCAAAGAGUGUUUUGGAUUUUUUUUAAUCUCGAGGUGCGUUUAUUUGGAACUGUCGUGCAUCUAAUAUAGUGAUAGUGAUUGCGCUGAUGAAUAAGCUUUCAACGCUGUCCAAAAACCUUUCCUUUUACAAAGAGUUUCUUGGAUUUUUUUUAUCUCGAGGUGCGUUUUGUUGGAACUGUUAUGCAUCUAAUAUAGUGAUAGUGAUUGCGCCGUUCAAAAACCUUUCCUUUUACAAAGAGUCUUUUGGAUUUUUUUUAUCUCGAGGUGCGUUUUUUUUUUGAACUGUCAUGCAUCUAAUAUAGUUAUUGUGAUUGCAUUGUCCAAAAAUCUUUUCUUUUUACAGAGUUUUUUGAAACUGUCAUGCAUAAUAUAGUGAUAGUGAUUGCGCUGUUCAAGAAUUUUUUUAUCUCGGGGUGCCACGCAUCUAAUAUAGUUUAUUUUUUCUAGAUCUCGAGGUACGAUCCAUGCAUCUAAUAUAGUUUAUUUUUUUUUUAUCUCAAGGUGCGAUUUUUUAGAACCGCCAUGCAAUAAAUAGUUUUUUAUUAGGUUUAAGUUUAACAAAGAGUCAGAAUUUUCUUUUGAAUAAUGGAAAGGGCGAAUGGUGGGAAUCGAACUCGCGUCUUCUCCUUGACAAAGAGAAAUUUUAUUAUUGAACUAUAUUUGCAUAUUUGAAUUGUAUUUGAUACGGAAUAUAUUAAUUUUAUUUGUGUUUUAAUUUUAUAUAGAUUACUCUAUGCUUUUAAUGUUAAUAGGAUUUUUUAAAUAUUACUUUUUAUAUUUUCUUAUUUUUUAAUGUUAUAUAAGUUAUAAUUUUAUAUUCUCCUAUUCUCUAUUUUUAUAUAGGUUACUCUAUCUUUUUAUAGUCUCUUACUAUUUAUUUUUAUAUAAGAUACUGUAUGGUUUUAAUGUUAAUAUUAUUUCUCUUUAAUGGGUAUAAAUUGAGUAAUAAAACAUAAUUCAUCCUCUUCUUUUAUACAUAAGGUUUAGGGUUUUUCAAAAGUAACUUUUUUGAGUUUUUGACCUAUAAAAAGUAGUGGUAUUAAUGUCUAGUACAAUUUUCAAAACCAAAUUGCAGCUUCUAAGAAGCUAUUUAGAAACUUAUAGAGAAGUUAAAAAAAAAAAACUUCUUUCAUAAUUCUACUAUUUUUUAUCACAAUUCUAGAAAAUAAGCACUUUUAAAGCUAAAAACUCAAACACAAAAUAAUUUAUUUAUAAACUACUUUUAAUAUAAUCAUUUAUUGUUUAAGGGCCAGUUUGGCUAAACUUCUUAAAUAAGUUCUUUUGAAAAAGGAGUUUAAAAUAUAAGGACUUUUAUUAAUAUUAACUUUUAAAUAAGUUAUUUUGAGUUUGGAAAGUUAUUAUGGAAGUCAUUGUUUUAAAAUUGUGCAUUAAAUAAGAGUGAUAAAAUAGCUUUUGAAAAUAGGAGAAGUCACAUUUUUUAACUUCUUCAAAAGCUCUUAAAUAACUUUUUAAAAAGUCAAAAGUUUAUCUAAAAAAUUAUACCAAACACAUUAAUGUAACUUUCUAUAAGUCAAAAGUUGAAAAAAGUAACUUUUUGGUGUUUCCCAAACGAACCCUAAGUUGUUUUUCAAAAGGAGUUUAAUUAAGCUGUUUAAUUAACAUUUACUUAACACCUCUUCUUUAUCUUCUCUUUUACAUAAUAUCAUGCCACUUAUUUUUUUUCCUCCAUUCUUAUUAAUAUUUUGCACAAAUAUUUAAAGAAUUCAGUUGAUAGCACAAUUCUUUUUUUUAGUUUGAUAAAUAUAUGUAUGAAGUAAUAAAUUCUUAAAAUACUAAAUCUUUACAAUUUUUUUUAAUUUUUGGUUUAAUUAUAUUCACCAGUUAUUUCAAUCAUAUAUUAUUUAAAUUAUCUGAAUGGGGCUGACAAGCUUGGCGAGCAUCACAAUCCCGCUACUUCAAGCAUGUCAGACUCGUCAAAUGACUCUGGCUCUCGGAAAUUUGAGAAUCGGAAACAUUUGAAAGCCAAAUCACCUUGUGUUGAUAGGGGAUCAAAAAUUAUUGUCAAAGCUGCCUACAAAGAAGAUAUGAUCCGUUUCAAGUUUGAUCCUGCAGCUGGUUGUCUCCAGCUCUAUGAACAAGUUGCAACAAGAUUUAAAUUACAAAUCGGAUCAUUCCAGCUGAAGUAUCUCGACGAUGAAGAGGAAUGGGUUUGGAUGGUAAAUGACUCAGAUUUGGAAGAAUGCAUAGAAAUAUUGGAUGAUCUUGGCACCCGUUCUGUGAAAUUUCUUGUUCGCGACAUGCUUAGUGGAAAUCUUUGAUCCAAAUAACCCAAUGACACAUCCAAGAUACUCCAUAGAAAUGUCUUCAUAUGAUUUGUGUGGCUAAAAAGUAAUACUAAUGAAAUAUUGUUGACAGACGAAUUUUAUGCGGCAACUGAAUUCUUCAAUCAACAUAUUUCAUUAGCAUUGCCUUUUAGGCACGCAAUUAAAUGAAAACAUUUCUAUAAAAUUUUCUGGAUGUAGCAUUAAGAUUAUUUGGAUCAAAGAUUUUUUGUAGUUUAAUCUUCAUAGAGAAAAGUAUUUAACAUUCUAAUACUUACUAGUGACUAUUAUCCUACCUUCUGAAAAUAGACACUUUAAGGAAGCAUGAUCAUGCUUUAAGAUUCUUUUCUCUAGAAAGAUUAAACAAUAAAUGAGAGAAGUUAAAAUAACUUAAUUAAGCUCCUUUUGAUAAAAUAACUUAAACAAUAAAUGACUCUGUUAAAAAUAACUUAUAAAUAAGUUAUUUUGUGUUUGAAUUUUUAACUCUAAAAGUGCUUAUUUAAAAAAAAUGUAAUGAGAAGUAGAAGUAUUAUGAGAGAAGUCAUUUUUUUUAACUUCUCUAUAAGCUCCAAAAUAGCUUCUUAGAAAGUUGCAAUUUGGUUUUGAAAAUUGCACCCGACAUUAAUACUACUACUUUUCAUAAGUCAAGAGUAAAAAAAAAAGCUACUUCUAGAGUUUCCCAAACGGGCCCUAAAUAGUUUAUAGAGUUUUAUAGUUAAAUAGUUACAGUCAACCGUGAGAUAAAUAGCUCUAGGUUGCUUUUAUCCCAAUUUUUGUAUAAAAUCAUCAAUAAUUUGGGAUAGAUAUUAUAAAUAAAUUUUCAUAUAAUUUUGUUGUUUUUAUUCUCACAGAAUAAUCUAAUUAAUAAUAGAAAUUAAUACCGUUUCCGUUUCCAGUGAUUAUUUUUAUUUAAAGAUUCUAUUAAAAUUAAAUAAAAAUGAUUCUAAAAUUCUGUUUUUUUGAUUUUAUUAAAAAAUAUAACUAUUUAAAACUAUUUUAGUUAGUAUUAUAUACAAAUUCUAUAUUCUAUUAGAGAAUAGAAUCCAACUAAUUCAAAGUAUUCUAACGUUUGUAUUUUUUUAUACAAAAAAAGCUUUUAAAAUUUCUCGUAGAAAUUGAUUGCAUGAAAAAUCUUUCCUAUUCCAAAAAAUUGUUGGGAUUUUUUUUAAUCUCGAUGUGCGUUUAUUUAAAAUUGUCAUGCAUCUAAUACAGUGAUAGUGAUUGUGCCGAUGAAUAAGCUUUCAAUGCUGUCCAAAAACCUUUUCUUUUACAAAGAGUUUUUUGAAUUUUUUUUUAUUUUGAGAUGCGUUUUCUUUGGAACUACCAUGCAUCUUAUAUAGUGAUAGUGAUUGUGCUGUCCAAAAACCUUUCCUUUUACAAAGAACUUUUUGGAAUUUUUGAAUUUUUUUUAUUUCGAAAUGCGUUUCUUUGAAAUUACCAUGCAUCUAAUAUAGUGAUAGUGAUUGCGCUGUCUAAAAACCUUUUUUUUUUCACAGAGUUUUUUGAAUUUUUUUUUAUUUUGAGAUGCAUUUUCUUUGUAACUACUAUGCAUCUAAUAUAGUGAUAAUGAUUGUGCUAUCCAAAAAACCUUUCCUUUUACAAAGAGCUUUUUGGAUUUUUUGAAUUUUUUUAUUUCGAGAUGCGUUUCUUUGGAACUGUCAUGCAUCUAAUAUAGUGAUAGUGAUUACCCUGUCCAAAAACUUUUCUCUUUACAAAGAGUUUUUUGGAUUUUUUAUAUGCAUUUCGUACUUUUUUUGGAACUGUCAUGCAUCUAAUAUAGUUUAUUUUUUUUAGAUCUCAAGAUGCGUUUCUUUAGAAUUACCACGCAUCUAAUACAGUCAUAGUGAUUGCGCUUAUAAAUAAGCUUUCAAUGCUAUCCAAAAAUCUUUCCUUUUUUACAAAGAGUUUUUUUGAUUUUUUUUUAUUUCGAGAUGCAUUUCUUUAAAACUGCCAUACAUCUAAUAUAGUGAUAGGAUUGCGCUGUCCAAAAAUCUUUCCUUUUACAAAGAGUUUUUUGGAUUUUUUAAAUUUUUUUAUUUCGGUAUACGUUUCUUUGGAAUUGCCAUGCAUCUAAUAUAGUGAUAGUGAUUACUCUGUCCAAAAAUCUUUCUUUUACAAAUAGUUCUUUGGUUUUUUUUUUAUAUUUCUUUUGUGACCUUUUUUUAUAUGCGUUUCUUUGAUUAUAAGUAAAAAUUUUUAUUUAAUAGAAUUAUUUUUAUUUAAAAAUUUUAUUAAAAUUAAAUAAAAAUAAUUUUAAAAAUUCUAUUUCUUUGGAAUUUUUUUUAUCUCGAGAUGCGUUUCUUUGGAACUACCAUGCAUCUAAUAUAGUGACAGAGAUUGCGUUGAUGAUUAAGCUUUGAAUGUUUAUUCAAAAAUCUUUCCUUUUUUUCAUAAUUUUUUAGAUUUUUUUUUAUCUCGAGGUGCGUUUCUUUAGAACUGUGAUGCAUUUAAUAUAGUUUAUUUUUUAUUUUUUGGAUCUCCUUGACAAAGAAAAAUUUUAUCAUUGGACUAAUUCGCAUUUUUAAAUUGUAUUUGAUAUGUAAUAUAUCAAUUUUUUUUGUGUUUUAAUUUUAUAUAGAUUACUCUAUGAUUUUAAUGUUAAUAGAAGGGAUAAGUACAAUUUUGGUCCCUCACGUUAAGGGUCAGAAUCGAAAUCGUCCUUCGUGUAUAUUUUGAUUUAAAAUCAUCUUUAACGUAUUUUUUUGUAUUAAAAUCGUCAUUUUAAAUUUUUUUGGACAAAAAAGCCCUCCACUACCAUCAUCACCUUUACCUCCAUCACCAUCAGCACCUUUACUCCCACCACCACCACCACCUUUACCUCCACCACCAAGAAAAAUGACAUCAAUAAAAUCAACAUCAUCAUCAUCAACACCCACUGCCACUCCACCACCACCAACGCCGCCGCCGUCCGCCUCCCCCUCCGCCUNNNNNNNNNNNNNNNNNNNNNNNNNNNNNNNNNNNNNNNNNNNNNNNNNNNNNNNNNNNNNNNNNNNNNNNNNNNNNNNNNNNNNNNNNNNNNNNNNNNNNNNNNNNNNNNNNNNNNNNNNNNNNNNNNNNNNNNNNNNNNNNNNNNNNNNNNNNNNNNNNNNNNNNNNNNNNNNNNNNNNNNNNNNNNNNNNNNNNNNNNNNNNNNNNNNNNNNNNNNNNNNNNNNNNNNNNNNNNNNNNNNNNNNNNNNNNNNNNNNNNNNNNNNNNNNNNNNNNNNNNNNNNNNNNNNNNNNNNNNNNNNNNNNNNNNNNNNNNNNNNNNNNNNNNNNNNNNNNNNNNNNNNNNNNNNNNNNNNNNNNNNNNNNNNNNNNNNNNNNNNNNNNNNNNNNNNNNNNNNNNNNNNNNNUUUCCUCUCCCCCUCCCCCAAAACGUGUUCUUUUCUUUUUUUUUAAUAAAUAUCUUAAUUUUUUUAUUAUUAAAGUAGGGGUAUUUUAGGAAUAAAAUUAAAUUUUUUUCUAAAAAGGACGAUUUUAAUACAAAAAAACACGUUAAGAAUGAUUUUAAAUCAAAAUAUACACAAUGGACGAUUUCGAUUUUGACCCUCAACGUGAGGGACCAAAAUCGUACUUAUCCCUUAAUAGAAUUCUUUAAAUAUUAUUUUUCAUAUUUUCUUAUUCUUUAAUUUUAUAUAAGUUUCUAUAUCCUUUCAAUGUUAAUAAAUUCUUUUUAAUAGGUAUAAAUUGAGUUAAAUUCUAAUUUAUUCUCACAUUUUAUAUUUACUUUUUGUUAUAUCACUAUAUAAAUCAACAUUCAUUUUAUAUAAUUUUUUUAUCCCUUCUCACAUAAUCUUAUAUCUCUUUUUUUCCUACCACUUUCACUAAAUAUACGUAGUAAGUGACUAUGUAAUUGUAUUUAUUAGGAAGAAAAUGAUAGUGACUCAACCAACCAUGAAAAAGAAGACUUGACUUAAAUUACUUUUUAAUCCUUUUGAUUUUAAUUGAAUUACUUUUAACUAUUUUAUUUCUACUUCUCAUGUACCUUAUUAUUAUAGCUUAGGUUUUUUUUUUCAUUUCUCUCAUGACAUUUAUUUUUCUUUAGAUUACUCUAUAAUUUCAUAUUCUCUUCUUCUCUACUUUUAUAUAGGAUACUGUAUGUCUUCAAUGUUAUAUUAUUUCUCUUUAUUAGCAAUAAACAUAAUUCAUCCUCUUUUUAUACUCACUCUUUUUUAUGGUUAUUACAUAGUGUUACAAUUUAGGAUUCUUCUUCAUUUUUCUUUUCACUCUGUUUUUUAUAGUCUCUUACUAUUUAUUUUUAUAUAAGAUACGAUAUGGUUUUAAUGUUAAUAUUAUUUCUCUUUAAUAGGUAUAAAUUGAGUAAUAAAACAUAAUUCAUCCUCUUCUUUCAUACUUAAUUACUCCUUAUAUUUUUUAUAUAAAUCAACAUUUACUUGACAUUUAUUCUUUAUCUUCUCUUUCACAUAAUAUUAUGCCACUUAUUUUUUUCUCCGUUUUUACUAAUAUUUUGCACAAAUAUUUAAAAAAUUCAGUUGAUAGCCACAAUUUUUUUUUUUAGUUUGAUAAACAUAUGUAUGAAGUAAUAAAUUCUUAAAAUACUAUAUAUAUCCGAUUUGAAUUGAUUUCAAUUGAUCCCUUAUUAUUUCUCCUACGUAUUAGUAAGAGAUAGGAAUGACAGGAUUUGAAAUUUAAAAAUUUAUUAUUUUUGGAUCACCAAUUUAGUAUUCUAUUCAAAAUAUUUUUUUUUAUAAAAUAAAUAGAUUUCAAAAUAGAUAUUUAUAUGAGUUAUAAGUAAAAAUUUUUAUUUAAUAGAAUUAUUUUUAUUUAAAGAUUCUAUUAAAAUUAAAUAAAAAUAAUUCUAAAAUUCUGUUUCUUUGAUUUUAUUAAAAGAUAUAACUAUUUGAAACUAUUUUAGUUAACAUUAUAUACAAAUUCUAUAUUCUAUUAGAGAAUAGAAUCCAACUAAUUUAGAGUAUUUUAACGUUUAUAUUUUUUUAUACAAUCUUUUUUAAAUUUCUCGUAGAAAUUGAUUGCGUUGAUGAAUAAGCUUUCAAUGCUGUCCAAAAACAUUUCCUUUUACAAAGAGUUUUUUGGAUUUUUUUUAUCUCGAUGUGCGUUUCUUUGGAACUGUCAUGCAUCUAAUACAGUGAUAGUGAUUGCGCUGUUCAAAAACCUUUCCUUGGUGCGUUUCUUUGGAACUAUCAUGCAUCUAAUAUAGUGAUAGUGAUUGCAUUGUCCAAAAUCUUUUCCUUUUACAAAGAGUUUUUUGGAACUGUCAUACAUCUAAUAUAGUGAUAAUGAUUACACUGUUCAAGGAUUUUUUUAUUUCGGGUUGCCACGCAUCUAAUAUAGUUUAUUUUUUUUUUCUGGAUCUCAAGGUACGGUCCAUGCAUCUAAUAUAGUUUAUUUUUUUUGUUGGAUCUCGAGGUGCAAUUUUUUUAAACCGCCAUGCAACAAAUAGUUUUUUAUUAUGUUUAACAAAGAGUCAAAAUUUUCUUUUGAAUAAUGGAAAGGGCGAAUAGUGGGAAUAAACCCGCGUCUUCUCUUUGGCAAAAAAAAAUUUUAUCAUUGGACUAUAUUUGCAUAUUUGAAUUGUAUUUGAUACGUAAUAUAUCAAUUUUAUUUGUGUUUUUUAAUUACUGACUUAUGUGUGAAAUUGGGCCAAAGACAUCUAUAUAGUCCAAAAUUUAAUUUAGAUGUCUAAAUUAUUACAAUUAGAAUUUUAAAAAUCAAAUUAAUACACAACACAAAUUUUAGAAAUUAUUUUAGAGAUUUAGUCCCUAAAUUCUUAAGCAGUUGCUAUUGCAUCUUUAGCAGCAACUGUUUUCACUGCAGCCAAAGUUCCACGCCCCUCUUCUUCCACGACAGCCUAAACUCUCUCAAGAAACUUAUCAUCCUCCCUCCUCAGGAAGAAAUGGCCUGCAUAAUUUGUAAAGAACUAAGGAGACAUGAGACAUCAAGUACGAAAGAAACUGAAUGUACAUUAUAUAUAGGAUAAAACACAUGCAUAAACCAAAUACAGAAUAAUAUUACGUGAAAAUUUUAAAUCAAAUAACGUUACUACAUGUAUGUCUUCAUUUAUAAUUUUAUAUAAAUCUAAUUUAUUGAAUUUAAAUUAGCCAUAGUACUAAAUCUAAUUGAUACAUAGAGACUCUCUAUGUAGAUAGAAUUAGGUAACUUCAAUUUACAUGCAUUUGGAAUGAUAAGUCGAAUCAAUUGGAUUCGAUUUACUUGAUUAGCACGUGCAAUCCAUAUAAAUAGAUACUUAUCAAUUCCAUUUACUUUGGAUUUUGCUUUUUUUUUAAUAUUUUUAAUACUUUUGAAACAGCACAAAAUACAUCAAACCCUCCAAAACAGAACAAAGAAAUAAAGCAUGAAAAAACAGACUCAUGCAAAGAAACAACACCUAAUAACAUCACACCUAUAAGUACAAAUCAAUGACGAGUAAAACAUCACUCCUUCUCUAUGCAAUAGUUUUUCUUAAUAGAUAUACAAACUAAAGAAUAAGUACUACUCAUUAUGUAUAAGCAACUUAAGUUUAGAUUCAAAUUAAAUGCUAUAUGUAAUCGAAAUAUCAACAUACAAUAGUAAAUAUAAUAAUGUAAAAUAAACUAUACGAACUUAUUAAUUUGCGAUGAUAAAAAGAAUUAAAUGCCAUAUGAGGAUUAGUGAUGAUGAAUCAUUAUUAUUGUUGUGGUGAGCAUACUUACACAGUUACACCUUCCAUCUUGCACUAAAAAAAAUGGAAUUUGCUUUAGUAGCUGCAUAUGCAUAUAAAAGAUUAGACAGCAUAGCAGCUUAGUUUCUUUGUAAGUAGUUUUUUUUUUUAAUCAAAGAAGUAAUGUAUAAAAAAAACAAAAUAAUUCACCAAUCAAUACAAUAAGUUGAAUCAAUAAAUUUAAAUACCAACACAAAAAAACAUAAUAAUUCAAAAUUUAAAGUAAUUCACCGUAUAUAUAAUGUACAGGAGCGUAUGAGUAAAAGUAAUUGCUUUAAAAUAAGCAUUAAUUUUAGAAAGAAAAAUCAAGGUUUUGAAAACCGGUGAUGCAAACGGUGCGAUCCCCUUCUUAAAACCGCGCCAGAAAGAACUGCUGAAAAAUCGGAAAACCGGCAAAAAAUUGGCCGGUUAGACCGAACCGGUGAUCGGCCGGUUCUGCUAAACGACGUCGUUUUAUUGUAAAAAUUAAAAAAAUAAAAAACUCACCCGACCCGACCCGCUCAUGGAGCACGGAGCACCCCAUCCCCCCUUCCCCCUCGACCCCCAUUCACGCAUUCAUUCAUGAUUCAUCUCACAGUGAGUGAAUCAGUGAACCCUAGCCGCCGUGAACCCUAGCCGCCCAGUCGCCCUCCUUCGUCGCCGCGCUCUCGGGUCGUCAGCCACCGCCGUCGCCUGGUCCUCAGCCCCAGUAACCCUCCAUCGUCGCCUGGUUCCCUGCCCAGUAGCCCUCCAUCUCCAUCGUCUUCAUCUUCUGAACACCAGCAGGCAGUAGCUCGCAUCGUCUUCAUCGUCGCGCGGUCCUCAACAGUCAACACCAGUAGCCCUCCAUCGACGCCAGGUGAGUGACUCGUCCUCUGCUCAUCUUCUUUGUUCUUCGCCUCUGCUCAUCUUCUCUAGUAUAAGAAACAUGAAAUUGAUACUCUGAACUUCCUCUGUGAACUACUGAACUUAGAUUUCUGUUUAAUUUUCUGUGAACUUCCUAUGUGAACUUCGAGUAUCUGUGAACUUCCUCUGUGAACUUCCUCUGCUCAUCUUCUUCCUUCUUCGUUCCUCUGCUCAAUAGCAUGAGAAAUAAAUAAUCUGUUUUGUAAAUAAUCUGUAAUUUGUUGCUCAAUUUCUGUUCGUUCCUCUGCUCAAAUUUGUUACUCUGUUUUGUAAAUAAGCUGUAAUUUGUUGCUCAAUUUCUGUUCAUUCCUUUGCUAAAUAAGCUGAAAUUUGUUAAUGUUCAUUGUGUAGGCAGAAUUGUGUGGCUGUUCAUAGUGUAGGCAGAAUUGUGUAGGCAGAAUUGUGUGGCUGUUCAUAGUGUAGGCAGAAUUGUGUAGGCAAAAAUUUGUUGCUCAAUUUCUGCUCAAAUUUCUGUUAAUGUUCAUUGUGUAGGCAGAAUUGUUAGGAUUCAUUGCUGUGGCUGUUUUUAAUUUCAUAUAUGUUUUAUUCAUUUGCAAGGUUAUUUUUGGUUGAUUUUUUAUUUAAUUUGAUAAUGGUGUUUAUGAUUGGGGUUAUCUGGUUUUCAUUCUUUUUGAAUUUGAAAAUUCCUCCUACUUCAAACUGCUUAUGCUGCUUUUCACUAUUUCUGGUGUGUAACUUGUAUACUUCUGCAUGAUUCUCUUUUGAUUCCACACAAAGUUGAUGAAAAAAACUGAUUUUGUUAUCUGGGGUAAUCUUAUUCUGUUUCUAUCUAUGUUUUCUUGCUAAUGGAACAUUCUAGUCUAGUUGUUUAGUGAUCAGAAUGUUAUUCCUUCUUAACUUCAUGGAAUGAAAGAGAAACUACAUUGCAUCCUCAGAGUCAGAGGAAUCAAAAACCAUUAAUUAAUUUAUAUAUUAUUCAUUUUAGUUUUAUGAUUCUAUCAAUUUGGUUGUGUACUUAUUCUUCUUAUUCAGCAUAGGAAUUUAGCUGUGUACUUAUUCUUCUACAUUGGCAUGUUCAUCUUCACUUUGCAAUAACAAAAAGCUUCUCAUUUGAUUAUCCAUUAACUACCUCAUUUUCUGGUACCAUUCCUUUUGUUAUGGCUUUAGCUGAAAAAAUUGGAGGGGCUGGAUGAGGAGACAUUGAUGCCUCAGAAGACAUCUUGAGGUUUUGAUGAUUGAUAACUCUUUAGGUUGACAUUUAAUAUUUGAUAUUUCUUUAUACAAUUUAACUUGAGUUUGUAUAUUAAUAAGAUUAUAUGAAUUUGAUUGAUGACAUUAAAUGUAGUUUUUUAAAUUUGAAAACUAUUUUAAUAUUUAUAUUAUACUAUAAUAUUAUACUAUAAUUAUAUUUUAGGAUGUUUAUUUAUAAUUUAUUUAUUAUUUUAUUUUAAAACAGUUUUUCCGGUUGAACCACUGGUUAGACUGGUUGGACUAGUAAACCAGUGAACCAGUAGCUAGAGCAGUUUGAUGACCGGUCCGGUUUUCCGAACCUUGAGAAAAAUAAAUGAAUUAGAGUUAAUUCACAUAAAAAAAUAAUGCUAUGAAUUUAAUUAUAUAAUAUUAGCAUAUAUCAACGAAGUUCUAAAUAACUAAAUAAUUUAAUGUGCAUAAUAUUUUUUUCUAAAUAUAAAUUAUUUUAUUCCAUUAAAGCAAUUGAAUAUAAGUGAUCCAAAAGAAAAUAAUAACAAGGUUAAAAUGGAAAAUUUUAUAAGAUGAUAUUUUCUAAUAUAACUAUAAAAUAGAUAGCUUACCCGUCGUCAAAGGAUUAAUCGAACUUUUUCUUGGAAUGCAUACUUGGCGAAACGAGCUAUUUCUAUGGGUGACAACCACUUCUUCUCGAAGACCAGCAUGUUUGGAGCUAUCCAUAGCUCCAAACUAGGUGUGCUGCUCUAUUCCUGUCUCCGUUUCUGUGUUCUUCUUAGAUAUUAUUCUACCAUUUCUAAAUUUCCUCAAAAGCGUCUCUCAUUGGAAGUUCAGCUACAUCUCCCACUAGAAAUUCAGCUGAUCUUCAUGCACCAACAAUUGAUUCAGGACAUGAGACCAACAAGUGAGUAACUAAUUCUUCCGAUUUUAUUUUGCAUGAUUUUUCAUAGAAAAUUUUUAUUCUUAAACUCUAAAUAAAUAAAUAAUUUAAUGUUCUUAAAUUGCUUUAUUUUUUUAAGGAUAGGUUAUUUUAUUCAAUUAAUGCAAUUGAAUAUAAAUGAUCUAAACGAGAACAAGAAGAAGAUCAAAAUGAAAAUUUUUACAAGACGAUAUUUUUUAACAAUUACAAAACACAUGAGUUUAUCCAUCAUCAAAAUACAGAUACUAAUCAGUCUUUUUCUUCAAAUGCAUUAAUGGCGAAACGAGCUCAUUUCCAUGGGUGACAGUCAAACGAGCUACUUCCAUAGGUGCAGCUUCUUCUCGAAGACUAGUAAGUUCUGAAUUUACCGUUAUAUUCUUUUUUGUCUGUCUGGCUCUUCGAAGUUCUUCGCAGAGAUUAUUUAUUUUGAUUGAUUAUAUUUGGGUACUUCGGGUUAACACUGUAAAUUUUUCAUAGAAUUUUUUUUAUUUAGCUGACGUCUCAGUUACCAAAUUAAAGAGUACAAAGGCAUUUGUCCAUACUGUUCUGGUGGUAAUUGCUCUAAUGGGAGAUAGAAGAACUGAUAAGCCAAUGAAUAUGCCGAAAAGAUUGAGUACUGCGAGUUCUACUCUCUUGAUCUGGUAAGUAUGUCUUCUUCGUCCGAGAGUCUGGAAUCUAAAGAAUAGCUUGUGUCAAAUUGUGAUUAAAAAGUUGAAUUGUUUUGUGUUUUCAUUAUCUGUCUGCUAUAAUUAAGACCGAAACCUAGAUAAGUUGUUGAUUUGGGCUUUGCGACAAUAAUUUUUGAUGGGGUUAAAUUGUUUGAGCCAAGAGUCUUGUAUGUUUUGACUUGACUUGAUUGUCUUCUUACCUUCUAGCAAACUCCUCUAAUCUUGUGAGGAAUUUAUUCCAAUGUCAGUCUUUAGAAACCUAGAAUUUGGCAUACUUCAAAGUAAGAGAGUGCAACUUAGUUUACAAUCUCUAGUCCUGUUUUUUAAGAGUGUCAAAUUAAACACUUUUAAAUUAAAGUUCAAUUCACCUUGAACUUUUGGUCUACUGAUUAUCUCUCAACUAACCUAGUGCAUUCUUCUUUCCAUUCUCUUUUAACCCCACAAAACUGUAGGACAACUCUAUGAAUUUCAUCGAUUAAAGUCUAGUAAAACUUAAAACAACUAAAAGUAUAAAUAGAGACAACCAGAGUUUAAAUUGUUUCGUAGUUGAAGAUUAUUUGACUAGUAACUGGGGAGAGAUAAAGCACUUUAAGGGUGAUGUUACAAGAACAAACAUGAUUGACGAGGUUAUACUUUGGAAGAUGCAAUUCAAUUAUUGUUAGAAAAAGAUGGUGUCAUAGCCAAAUAAGUUACUAUGAUAGUUAAUUACAAAAAUAUUGUUAAAUGAAUUGAAGGAAAAAAUAACAUUAGCUGGUAAUUAUGAUUCUUGAGAAACAAAACAAAGAAUUUAUCCACAUUUUUCAACAUAUGAAAGUGGUAUACAAGGAGGACAAAUGGUUUCCGACCAUGGGAGUAGAUUGCUUUAAAUAAAGCUAGUAGGUGGACAACUAGGAGUUCAUGAAUCAAAUGAUAUAUGCAUUCACAAUAAAAGAUAAAGAUGCUUAGUAAUACAAGGUGUUUAUGUAAUAUAUACAUGUAUGUGGUUGGUGAGUCAUGAAAUUGUGAUAGUUUGUAAUGUUAGGGGGAUAGGUGUUACUAAAAAAUCGGAAAAUAUAUUGAAUGUGCUGAGUUGGAUUCAAUAUCCAUGUAAUCUAAAUUUUUUUUUAUGGCAUUAUCAAAGGGGAUUAUUAGAUUCAUAAGAAACUCUUUUAUAAUUCUCUAUCUUGAGUCGAGACUUUUAAGACUGAUCUAAAAAGAGACAUUCAGGCAACUUCUUUAACUAGAACUUCCUUUCCAUUAUUGAAGAGUGGUGAUAUUUUUCAAUGUUGCAGCUUCUUAAUCACUUUUUUGUCCUUGAUAUAUCCAAAUGUAACCUUUUGGACCUCUGGACCACUGACAAAAAUCCAAAAUGUUUGUCUUGACUUCUAACAUUAUCGAUCUGUACAAUUUCAGCCAGCCUUUCUAUAAUUUUUAUAGGAGUGUUAUUGUUGAAAAAUACAUAAAAUUUGUCUAAAUUUACCACUUAACUACUAAUUUCACGAUAGCUUUGUAGUACGUUCAACAUAUUAAAGCAUUUUGUCUCCUUACUUUAUAAAAUAAAAUUGAGUGAUUUGUAAAAAAUAAGUGACUUACUUUCGAACGUCUAUAAUUCAAUCUAAUUCGAGUAAUCUCUUGUAUUCUUUUUAGUGUAAAAGAUUUAUAAAUAACUAAUCAUAUAUUAUUAUAUUAGUAAAAAUAAUUAUUUUUCACAAUCAUUAUUUAAAAAGACAUAUAAAUGCAUGAAUUUAAUUAAUUUGUAAUUAUACAAAAAAGUUUAUAUUAAAAUUAACUCACAUAUAUGUAAAAAGAUAAAAACAACAAAAUCUUGUCCCACUAGGUAGGGUCGGCUACAUAAAUCAAACGACGCCAUUGUGUUCGGUCAUGUAUCAUGUCUACAGAGAGACCGUUUAUAUGUAGAUCUCGUUUGACCACUUCAUGGAUGGUCUUUUUAGGUCUUCCUCUUCCUUUCACCCCUUGUCCAUCUUCUAUCUCAUCCACCCCCUUAAUUGGGUGUUCUGUCGGUCUUCUUCUCACAUGUCCAAACCACCUGAGACGCAAUUCAACCAUCUUUUUCACAAUGAGUGCUACUCCAACUCUCUCCCUUAUAUCUUCGUUCCUUAAAAAUAUAAAUAUUAUUGAGUUUUUGCAAAUAUCAAAAUUGACAAAUAUAAUAUUUACUUAAAUUGAUAAUAAUAAUAAUAAAUUGCAGUUUUAUUUGAAUAAAUAUUUUAUUUGAUCACCUACUAAUUUAAAAACUUAGCUAUACAAGGAUAUACAUAAAAUAUAUAAUAAUUAAAAAAAAUAUCUGACAAAAAUCGAAUAAAAUAAGAGAAAGAAGACAAGAAUGUAAAUCUUCUCCUUGCUGGUAUCCGUUUUCCAAGAUUACAACCUUACCACAAACACAAGACUUACGUAGCCCAGAUUGAUUUUUAGUUUUUUAAAAUCAAUUAUAAAAUGAGGGAAAGAAAAUAAAUGAGAAAUGAGUUCUUGAUUAUUCUUCUUUUUUUUUUAAAGAUAUCUAUGUUCUAGCAAAACUUAAUUAUCUAUAAAUCUUUAUGAGAUUCAUAAGUUUUUCUAUUAAGGUAUAUAAGUUGUCUUAAGUUUUUAAUAGUUAAAAACCUAUGAAUAUUCAUGUUAUAAUUCGAAUUUAUAUGUUUUCAUAAAAAAAAAAGUUAAAAACCUAUUAUUUGUUUUUAUAUUUAAUUAUAUAAUAUCAUAUUAAUAUUAUACAUAAUUAUAUUUAAAAAAUGAUUUAAUUAAAUAAUAAUAUAAAUAUGAUACUAAAAUAACAUAAUAAAAUUGAACUCAUGAUAUUUGUAUGUUUAAUUAGACAUGCUAUGGCAAUUACUAAUCUGUGCUUCAUAGGCUUAGAAUAAGAAACGUAGAGAUAAAUACAUAAAAAAAAGUCUCGAAAAUAGAAAAAAAUAUAAAUUUGAAUUAAAAUGAAUCAUUCAUAGGUUUUUAACUAUUGAAAACUUAAGACAACUUAUAUAUCUUAAUAGAAAAACUUAUGAAUCUCACAUUUUUAAUAAUUAGAGAUUUAUAAAUAAUUAAGUUUUGUUAGAACAUAGGUAUCUUCCAAAAAAAAAUCAAGAACUCAUUUCUCCUUUAUUUUCUUUCUCUCAUUUUAUAAUAGAUUUUAAAAUGAACUUUAUGUUAAACUAACUUUAUGUUUAGAACAUGAACUUUGAGUUUAUAAUAUGAAUUCAUGUUAAUAUUAUGAACUUUAUGUUUAUAAAUUAUAACACGAACUUUUAUGUUAUAAACAUAAACUUUUAUAUAAAGGCCAAAUAAUUCAGUGUAAUUCUAUUUAAUUUGACUCUUGAAUUAUAAUUGGUUUUUUUUAAUCAAAAUGAAUUUAUUCUUAAAUUAUANNNNNNNNNNNNNNNNNNNNNNNAUUGGAUAAAAAUAAAUUUUUUAUCUUUAAUAUUAAUUAAUUAUUUUUUAAUUAAUAAAUAAUUAGUCAAUUUUUUUUAUCCAAUUUUAUCAUAUUAACCAUGAUUUUAACUUUGACGCCACCUCCCAAUGCCAGUCUGAUUACCGUCGUCAUUGGCUUAACACUUGAUCAUAAACCUCUACAAUUUGUCGCAGAUGAUAAUUAAACCGCUACAAAUCAUAGCUGUUUAUGCUAUAUAUGUGUUCGCAUGUAUUCCGCAACGGAUAGAGAUAUGAAAUUUUGUAAACCACUAUUAUAAAAUAAUUGCAUUCGUAUGCAGAGAAAAAAAUUCAAUCGUUGGAACUUGUAUAUUAGAUCAUCAAAUAAUUUAAUAAUGUAAAUUAUACUUAAAAUAAGGAAGAAAAAGGGAACUACAACUUCGAAGAGUUUUAGCUGAACCCAGAAACUGAAGUUUGAGGCUGUCUAGAGUUUACGUAGUAGGCUUACCUUAGCUUAACUCGGCUUACACCAGCUUUUUGUCUCUCUUCUGGUUCCUCUUCCUUUAUAUAGAAGCAAUCUUCUUACACCGUUUUCUCAAUCCUCAGUCUCAUUCCCUUUACUAAAAUAGAUAGACAGAGAGAUAGAUUGUUGUUUAUUCACAGUUUUCUUGUGUGUUUUGGGAAUUUUCUUAAUUAGUUGUUUAUUUUCGUAUGUUCUAGGUUUUUCUUUUGGCCUGUUUGUGGGGUUGGUGAAUUCUGGAUUUUGAUUGUAAAGUUUGAAGCUUUUCUGAGUUUAAAUGUGGGACUUUGCAUUGAUAUCUCACAUCAAGUGCAAUUCAGCAGUUGCGCCAUUCUGAGUGCAUUUGGUUCUUUAUGUGCUGUACUAGUUUUGAUACAUUUGCCAUGGUCAUUUGGAAUUUGGGGCCAAAUAUUCAGAUUUUUCUUAUUUUUACCAUUUUUAAGAAGUUGCAUUUAGCUUGAGCGCUGUUUUUCAAUUAAAUUGUUGCUGUUAUGAUUUUGAAGCAGUUUCUGUCCAAAAUUUGAUUUUGAAGCAGUUUCUGUAUAAAAUUUAUCUUUAAUGCAGUUGAACUUGUGCCAAUUUUGAGGAUUGAAAUUAUUUUGGAAAAUUUUCAAUAGUUUUGGAUGGUGAUUUUUUAGCUUUCUUCAACAGUUGGUCUGUGGAUUUUAAAUAUAGGAUAUUUUGAGUGACUCAUAUAUACUUCCAAUAAGACUUUUGAUAGUUUGAAAAAAAAAAAAGUGGAAAAUAGUUAAUGAAUAUUGAUUUUGAUAGCUUUGAAAAAAUGAUUUUGAGAGAAAUGAUGAGUUUUGUAAUAGUGAGGUUGGUUGAAGUUGAGUUAGCAUACUAAAUUUUAGAGAGCAAUUUGUAUCAGGUCAACAAAGUGUUCUGUAAAUUUUCAGAUUAUAUAUAUUUCAAUUUAAAAUCUAAUUUGCUUUUCUAAAAAACUUUUCUUGUACAAAUUUCCUUGGCUCAAAAUUUAUGUAUGUCUGAUUAUCUGUAUCUGGCGCCAAGUUCUAAUUUGGUCCUUAAAGUUUCAAACGUUAUGUUUUAGUCAUAUUUCAGUCCAAAAUAAUUUCAAAAACGGAUUCUAAUACCAAAAAAUAGAUAUGACUUAACAAUAAAAUUGUUAAGUCCAUAUCAAUCAUUCCAUUAACUAUGUGUCAAAUUUAAUUGAAUCCGUUUAAAACCUUUUAAAAUAAAAUAGAAGUUUAAAAGGUUAGAAACUAAAUUAAAAUUUAACCCAAGAGUUGGGGACCAAAAUAGCAGUUUACCAAUUUUUUCUAUUUGUUUAGGGAAUAUUUGUAGUUUAAGUUUUGAUUUAAUUUCCUACUCUUUACCGAUGACUUGGCAGAAGUGGUAACUUUUCAGGCUUGUCGGACGCUGGUAAUCUGGGAAGGAAUUUCAAGUGGAAACUUGCCAACAAAAGAACUCUAACACAAGCUGAAUUUUGAUUUGAAGUUUGUUUUCUAACAUAAUCAUGGAAGAUCAGUUUUUCUCUGAGGGAGAGGGAAUUGGGUAUUGGACACCUCCUGGCGCUCAAUUCGAUGGACCAAGCAUGAUAGACAACGGAAUAAAAAAUCUGAAAAUUCCCGGUGAAAAAACUGUACUAUGCAUUGAAGAAUCAGCUUGCUAUAUAAAUGAUAUUGUGGUAGGAGGAUUUGUUCGUGCAUGUGUUAAACAUUAUCUCGAGGAAGGGCAAGGUGUAGCUGGGAAAGCGCUUCAAUCAAAUCGUCCAUUCUUCUAUUCCGAUGUGAAGGCCUAUAAUAUUAGUGAAUAUCCCAUUG
rnacentral:lncRNA from 1 species